GUCCAAAAUCCGAUCAAGUGGAAAAAGAAACAGCUAAGAAGAACUUUCUCUCCCCCAAACAUUUAUUUUCCCUGAUUCUCUCUCUCUCUCUCUGUCCAAAAUGGCAUACCACAUGUCGUGACUCCACGCGCCGCCCCGUUUCAUAAGAAUCCAAAGCCCAACAAACAAAAACAACCAUGGGCUGCGCAGCGUCGAAGCUCGACAACGAAGACACCGUCCGCCGCUGCAAAGAUCGCCGCCGUCUGAUGACGGAAUCAGUCCGCGCGCGUCACCAGCUCGCCGCGGCUCACGCCGAUUACUGCAGAUCGCUACGUAUCACCGGAUCCGCUCUCUCCUCUUUCGCCGCCGGCGAGCCACUCGCCGUAUCGGACCAGACUCCCGCCGUGUUUCUCCACACUCCGAGCGAACACUCCUCCAGUUACGUACCUCCACGUGUCCCUCCGUCUCCUUCCGUCUACACUCCGAGCGAACACUCUUCCUCCAGUUACAUACCUCCACGUGUCCCUCCCUCUCCUUCCGUGGCUAGCUCCAAAAAGCUGCCUCCGAUCGUAACGGCUCCCUCUAAUCGGAGACGAAGCAUCAGCAGCAACAGCAGCAGCAGAAACCGAAGCUGCCUCAUAUACUGUCGAGUCCUUCGUCAAGCGAGAGAUCUAAUUUCAUGCCGAGUAGUUUCUACCCAACGGCUUACCAGAACUCGACUUACUCCGCUACUCCCUCUCAAGCCUCCUCGGUCUGGAACUGGGAGAACUUCUACCCUCCUUCCCCUCCCGAUUCCGACUUUUUUAACCGUAAAUCUCAAGAGAGGCAACAACAACAUAACCGGUUUAGCGAUCAACAAGACUUACAUCAUAACCGGUUUAGCGAUCAACAAGACUUACAUCAUAACCGGUUUAGCGAUACGGAGACUGAGAGAUCUGAGCAUGAUUUCUUCGAUUCGACGAGGAAGGAGAAGAAGUUUGAUAGGGAGACGGAGAGAUCAGCAGGAGCACACUCGAGGAAGCAGAAUAAGCAGUUUCAGAUCUUGGAGGAGGAAGCUGAGAGAGAGGAAGUGCAGUGUAGCGAAUGGGAGGAUCACGAUCAUUACAGUACCACUAGCUCAUCUGAAGCCACCGCCCAUGAGGAGGAGGAGGAGGAUGAGGAGGAGGAGGAUAUAGAGUCAAUCUCACAAGUCGGGACGCGUUCUGACUUUGGAUCUUCAGUGAAGACUAGUUCGAUGAGACGGCAGCACGCACCAAUGGCGCAGGAGUAUAGCGUUGGAGGACAAGAGAAGUAUGGCAAAGCAGACGACGCGGCAACGAGUUACAGUGGCAGCAGAGGAGGAGAUAAUGUCUCUGACAUGAAGAUGGUGGUGAGACACAGAGAUUUGAAGGAGAUUGUCUAUGCCAUCAAGGAGAAUUUCGACAAGGCCGCUGAGGCCGGAGAACAAGUCUCUCAGAUGCUUAAUCUUGGCAAGGCUCAGCUCGACCGCAGUUUCAGCCACUUGAAGAAAACGGUGAUUCAUUCGAGUAGCGUAUUGAGCAACCUGAGCUCAACCUGGACCUCUAAGCCGCCAUUGGAAGUCAAGUACAGGCUUGACACAACUUCACUUGAACAACCGGGAGGUCCCAAGAGUCUUUGUUCAAGUCUUGACCGACUCUUGGCAUGGGAAAAGAAACUCUAUGAGGAAGUCAAGGCUAGAGAAGGGUUUAAGAUUGAACACCAAAAGAAGUUGUCAAAACUUCAAAGUCAAGAGUACAAGGGAGAUAGUGAGACUAAGCUGGACAAGACUAAGGGGUCUAUAACUAGGUUACAGUCUCUUAUUAUCGUUACUUCCCAGGCCGUCACCACUACAUCUACUGCCAUUGUCCGCCUUCGAGAUACUGAUCUUGUCCCGCAGCUCGUUGAACUCUGUCACGGUUUCAUGUACAUGUGGAAAGCAAUGCAUCAGUUCCACGAGAUUCAGAACAACAUCGUACAGCAAGUUCAGGGGCUCAUUAACAGGUCAGGCAAAGGGGAAUCAACAUCUGAACUACACCGACAAGCAACACGUGACUUGGAAACAGCCGUGUCUCUAUGGCACUCCAGUUUCUGUCGGCUGAUUAAAUUCCAAAGGGAGUUCAUACGUUCGGUUCAAGCCUGGUUCAAGCUGACUCUCCUCCCAGUUUGCCACGACAACAACCCCGGUCACAAAGAGCCAGUAGAUGCCUACGCGUUUUGCGAUGAGUGGAAGCUCACUCUAGACCGAGUCCCGGACACAGUGGCUUCAGAAGCAAUCAAGAGCUUCAUCAACGUUGUUCACGUGAUAUCCGCGAAACAAUCAGAGGAGCUAAAGAUAAAGAAACGAACAGAAUCAGCAUCAAAGGAGCUUGAGAAGAAAGCUUCGUCGCUUAGGAACAUCGAAAGGAAAUACUACCAGUCAUACUCCACGGUCGGGUUUGGUCUCCCUGAUUCAGGACCAGACAACGGACACGUGCUAGACGCUCGAGACCCGCUCACGGAGAAAAAGUUAGAGCUAGGAGCAUGUCAGAGAAGAGUGGAGGAAGAGAUGCUGAAACAUUCAAAGGCAAUAGAAGUGACAAGAGCCAUGACUUUGAAUAAUUUGCAGACGGGUUUGCCAGGUGUGUUCCAAGCUUUAACCAGUUUCUCAGCUCUGUUCACGGAGUCCUUACAAACGGUAUGCACUCGCUCAUACUCCAUCAAAUAGCACCACUAUAUUAUUACUAUAUAGUUGAAGAAGAUACAAAUACUAUAUAGUUAAAAGUUUUUGAUGAGGUAAAAGGGCUCCCCAUGGUUAUGUCUCUUAUUAUUUCGGGCUGGUUGUUUGGAUAAUGUUUAUUUCUGAAGAGGAAAUGUAUAUAUUAUGGAGUCUAUAUUUAAAAGAAGUUCUAGGACUUGGCGUUUUGAUUUCUAUGUAUGAAAUGUGGAUGUUUUUGUUUGUUCAUGUAAUUCUCAGCUACAUGUUCUAAAGAAAUUCCAGGACAAGAAUAAACAACGUUCUCUUGCUUGUUCA